CACCCCAGCAUCCAGAAAAACGCAAAAAAAAAAAAAAAUCGAGGAAAAAACUGAAAGCUGUUGACUGGACAGCGGAGGCAAUGAUUUAGUGGCCUAUAAAAGGCCACUUCCCUGACCUAAAACCCCAACCAAUCUUAAAAAGGGGAAGCCCCCGAUGGAAGUCGUAAAAGUUUUCGGCAUGAGUAUAUCGUGUCAGUUGUCGUGUCAUGUCAUGACCUCCUGGAACAUUUUAUGGCCGCUCCGGAAACGAGAAAAACGGGUGACAGCAAUUCAAUUCCCACCCCCACGAACACGAACUCCCCGCGCCACUUGAUCCCCAUUUGAUUUGUCAAAUGCUCCAGACAUCAGAGACGUUGGUAUGCAGGGGCAAAAGUACACACACAUCCUCAGCAAAGCAAAAAAGGGUUCCCACAUCGGCCUCACCAGCAAUGACACUUGUAGCAGACAAAUGGGAUCUUGGAAUACCGGGCGGAACCUUGUACACCCUUUCCUCUUGAAAAUACAGCAGUGAAUGCGAGAGCACAAGGAGCACUUACAUAAGUCAAAUUGUCUAACAUCCUUACCUCGAGAAAUAAUAUUCGAGUUGCACCUUAUGUAUUGAUACAGUAUUUAAUGCUGCUUCCCUUUCGUUUUGGCCCAGACUAAGCAACCUUGCUUUGAGACCAUCAAGCCAGAUGAUCCAACUUGAUGUAGGACUCUCAGGAUACGAGGGACUUUGGGGAUGCGGUGUCUGGAUUCCGACCAUCCGCAUAUCCCUCUCCGCCUGCGACUCCGGCGGAGCUAAAAUGACAUUCACUGACACUGAGCACUCGUCGCCUGGGAGUCUCGCAAUAAAAAUAAAACGAUUCUCAAAUAAGCGCUCAGGGAGUUUGUCACAGGAGCUGUCUUUUCGCUGCCAAAACAGCUCGCAUAUCCUUUCUGCCUGCCACACCUGCAAGUGUAUUAUAUAUAUAUAUAUAUAUAUAUAUAUCUAAGCGUGUCUGCAGAGAAACCCAAAUACAAAUGGUCUGUUUUAAUUUGCAAGCAACGUAAUAACACUGCCAAUGUAUUAUACUAUAUUAGAAUUUGAAGACUACAUACAUUAUUUA
rnacentral:sRNA from 1 species